rnacentral:miRNA from 1 species
UGUAGGGGAAGAUAUGAAUUGA